GAUGAACGCUGGCGGCGUGCCUAAUACAUGCAAGUCGAGCGAACAGAUGAGGAGCUUGCUCCUCUGACGUUAGCGGCGGACGGGUGAGUAACACGUGGAUAACCUACCUAUAAGACUGGGAUAACUUCGGGAAACCGGAGCUAAUACCGGAUAAUAUAUUGAACCGCAUGGUUCAAUAGUGAAUGACGGUUUUGCUGUCACUUAUAGAUGGAUCCGCGCCGCAUUAGCUAGUUGGUAAGGUAACGGCUUACCAAGGCGACGAUGCGUAGCCGACCUGAGAGGAUGAUCGGCCACACUGGAACUGAGACACGGUCCAGACUCCUACGGGAGGCAGCAGUAGGGAAUCUUCCGCAAUGGGCGAAAGCCUGACGGAGCAACGCCGCGUGAGUGAUGAAGGUCUUCGGAUCGUAAAGCUCUGUUAUUGGGGAAGAACAAAUGUGUAAGUAACUAUGCACGUCUUGACGGUACCUAAUGAGAAAGCCACGGCUAACUACGUG
rnacentral:rRNA from 1 species